UAUUGGGCAAUAUGGGACGAUGUGCUGGGCUGUGGGUGCUAUGGGGCGGUGUGGGGCUCUGCUGGUGGUAUGGGGCUGUGUGGGCGCUGUGGGUCCCUGUGGGUCUCUAUGGGUUUCCAUAUGUCCCUAUGUGUCCCUAUAGGUCUCUAUGGGUCUCUAUGGGUUCCUAUGGGUCUAUGGGUCCGUAUGGGUCCCAAUGUGUUCCUAUGGGUCCCUGUGGGUCUCUGUGGGUCCCUAUGGGUCUCUAUGGGUCCCUAUGGGUCCCUGUGCGUCCCUAUAUUGGUGGGUCUCUAUGGGUCCCUAUGGGUCUCUAUGGGUCCCUGUGGGUCCCUUUGCUCCCUAUGGGUCCCUACGGGUCCCUGUGGGUCCCUAUGGUCCCUGUGGGUCCCUAUGGUCCCUGUGUGUCCCUAUGGUCCCUGUGUGUCCCUAUGUGUCCCUGUGGUCCCUGUGGUCCCUACGGCCGCCGUGCGUCCCUGCAGAACCGCUUCCUGAGCGGCGUUUACCCGGCGUCGCCGUCGUGGUGGCUGGCGCUGCUGGCGGCGACGGGCGGCGCGCUGAGCCUCCGCCUGGAUCCGUCCUUCGGCGUCAUCGGCCGCAUCCGCGCCGCCCUGCCGGAAUGGUGGGCGGGGGGACAAGGGGGGGGAAACGGCACCCACCGAGACCCCCACCCAAAUCCCGGCCCCAAAUCCCAGCCCCACAUCCCUGUCCUGCAUCCCAACCCCACAUCCCAACCCCACAUCCCAACCCCACAUCCUCUUCCCUCCCCUUUCCCCUUCCCUUCCCCCUCCUUUUCCCUUUCCCCUUUCCCUUUCCCUUUCCUUUUCCCUUUCUCUUCCCUUUCCCCUUCCCCUUCCCCUUCCCCUUCCCCUCCUCUCCCUUCCCUUCC
rnacentral:lncRNA from 1 species